rnacentral:rRNA from 1 species
UACGAAGGGGGCUAGCGUUGCUCGGGAUCACUGGGCGUAAAGCGCACGUAGGCGGAUCUUUAAGUCAGGGGUGAAAUCCUGGAGCUCAACUCCAGAACUGCCUUUGAUACUGGGGAUCUCGAGUCCGGAAGAGGUAAGUGGAACUCCGAGUGUAGAGGUGAAAUUCGUAGAUAUUCGGAAGAACACCAGUGGCGAAGGCGGCUUACUGGUCCGGUACUGACGCUGAGGUGCGAAAGCGUGGGGGGCAAACAGG